GCCUGGCUAGCUCAGUUGAUAGAGCAUGAGACUCUUAAUUUCAGGGUUGUGGUUUCAUGCUCCAUGCUGAGUG
rnacentral:tRNA from 1 species